rnacentral:lncRNA from 1 species
GGGAUAUAAAAUUGAGAAUUUCCUGGCAUAGUGGUGCACUCCUAUAAUCCCAGGGACUUGGGAGGCUGAGGCAGGAGGAUCACAAAUUCAAAGCCAGCCUCAGCAAUUUAGCGAGGCUGUGUCUCUAAGCCAAAUAUAAAAGGAUUGGGGACAUGGCUCAGCAGUUAAGCGCCCUUGGGUUCAAUACCCUGUACAAAAAAAAAAAAAAAUUGAGAAUCAUCAUUGUAUGGAUGUUAUUUAAAACCAUGUGAUUAGAAGAGAUUACCUUACCAAGGGAACAAGUGUAGAUAGAAAAACAUGCAAAACAUGCAAGGACUGAGUUCUUGGUCUCUCCAAUAUCAAGUAGUUUCAGAGAUGAGUUGGAACCAUCAGAGAGACAAGGAACAGUAAGUGUAGUGGGGAAAAAAAUUCCAGGAGAUGGCAGUCUGCUGGCGGCCAACAGAAGGAAACUUAUUGGGAGAAGGGAAAGAUCAAAUGCUGCCUAUAGAUUAAGUGAUAUGAGUUUGAGAAUUGAUUUAGAAGGUUGUUGGCGACCUCAAGAAUACUUUGGAUAGAGUGGUGGGGUGAAAAUUUGAGUGUGGAUGAGUUCAAGAAAGAUUGGGAGGAGAGGAGGAAACAGCAGAGACAACUCUUUGGAGGAGUUUUGUUGUAAGAAAGGAAAGAAAUUGUGUGAGAGCUAAAAGGAGAAGUAAGGUCAAGAGGAAUUUUAAGUGGGCAUAAAACUAUGUGUUGUUUGUUGACGGUGAAGAGCACGGGCAGAAAUGGAGCUGGGCAUGGUGAUGCAUGCUGUAAUCCCAGCGGCUUGGGAGGCUGAGGUAGGAGGAUCACAGGUUUGAGGUCAACCUCAGCAACUUAGUGAGGCUGUGAGCAAACUAGUGAGAUUGCUCAAAAUAAAAAAUAUAAAGGGCUGAAGAUGUGGUUAAGCACCCUUGGGUUCAAUCUCUGAUAUCAAACAAACAAACAAACAAACAAAAAAAACAACAAAGAGACAAAGCUGAUGCUGCUGGAGAGUGUGAGGACGAUGUCCAGAGUGGUGUUCCUGGAUUAGGUGAGGAGGGCUGGGAUUGGGUAUGGAGAAGGACAGGCUGCUUUGGUUAGGGGCAUACAUGGUUCAUUCAAGUGAAAAGAGAACACAUAGUAUUUGAGGACAGGUGCAGGGAGAUGGAUGGACAUAGUGGAAGCUUGUGGGGAUUCUCUGUGGAUGGCCUCUGCUCUCCUAGUGAAUCAGGAAGCCAGGUCAGUGGAGUGAGGGUGGAGGAAAGGCUGGGAGGUCGCAUGUGAGGAGUCAUAAAAUAGUCAUCUAGGUGCACCAGAAUCACCUGAGGGCCUGUGAAAGCCUUCCCACCUGCAGGUGUUCUAUUCAGGAGGUCCGCGGUGGGCCUUAGAUUUUGCUUUUUUUUUUUUUUCCAGCACCAGGGAUUGAAUCCAGGGGCACUUAACUACUGAGCCACAUCUCCAGCCCUUUUUUUGUAUUUUAUUUAGAGACAGGGUCUUGCUAAGUUGCUGAUGCUGACUUUGAACUUGCAACCCUCCUGCUCAGCCUCCCGACAUUGGGAUUACAGGUAUGUCUCGCUGUGCCCCACAGUUUUAUAUUUCUAAUAAGUCUUCAGUCACAGCUGCAGCUGCUGGUCUGGGAAUGACUCUGAGGAUUACUGAGCUGGAGAAGGACAGUGAAUGGACUGCAGGAUGCAGCAUGGUCACCAGGCAGCAUCAAGGGCCCGUUUGAGGUUAGGAAUCAUGACUCCAAAGCGUCUCUGAUCAGCAUUCUUUUUCAUCUCAUCCACAAUUACUUGUGCAGGCAAGUCAAUUGACUUGCCCUGGGGCAUAUAACAGGCUCCACAUUUCUUCCUCUUUAAAAAAACAACAAUUUUGUAGGGCGCAGUGGCAUAUGCCUAUAAUCCAGUGGAUUGGGAAGCUGAAACAGGAGGAUCUCAAGUGCAAGGCCUGCCUUGGUGACUUAGCAAGCCCCUAAACAACUUAGUGAGACCUUGUCUCAUAAAAGAAAAAGGGCUGGGGAUGUAGCUCAGUAGUAAAGUGCUUAUAACAAUGUCCAACAAUUUCUGGCACAUGAGGAGUGCCCAAGAUCACUGCCAUCCACCAGCUUCUACCUGCCCGGGGCUGAUGAUGCUUAAUCUGCAUUUUCGGUAGACCUCAUACCUGAGCACCAGUCAUGAUUACCCAUCUGCGUCUUGACAUACCCUUGAAGGUUCCAUCAGAUCCCAACCUUAACAGGAGCCCAAACCUUAAACUCAUCAUUUUCUAUUCAGUUUCUUCCCUUUCUUUUUCCCCAUGUCCUUUCAAGGUGCCAUAUCAUCUAUCCCAUUCUCCAGCCAGAAAUUUGGUGGUUUCUAGGGUUCUAGUUUUUCUCACUUCACUAAUUUAUUUCCUUCCUUCCUUCCUUCCUUCCUUCCUUCCAUCCUUCCUUCCUUCUUCCCUCUGCCCCUUGUACUAGGGAUUGAACUCAGGGUGCUUAACCACUGUGCUACAUCCCCAACACUUUUUUAAAAAUUUGAGAAAGGGUCUUACUUAGUUGCUUAGAGCCUUGCUAAGUUGCUGAGGCUGUUUCGAACUUGUGAUCCUCCUGCCUCAGCCUCUCCAGUUGCUGGGAUUACAGGGGUGCACCACCAAGCCAAGCUCAUUCACUAAUUCUUAUAAAAAUAUUAUCAUAACUCAGAUAUGCAUAAAACAUUACACCUGUUUUCUGUGAUAUAUCUACAUCUCUAUUUUGAGUCAGUCCCUAUUCUACUGGAGUGGUGGACACUUAAUUUUAGUCAGCUGGAGGAAUCUUGCCUCCUCUUUCCAGGAUUUGCCCAACUUCUAGAAGGAUGGUUCAUAUGUAUUUUUUUUUUCCCCCAAAGCACAAGAGGAAGAAGAUCCUGUUACUAGAAUGGCCACCUUGUGUCCACUGAGACACCUUGUGUCUAUUGCCUGAUUCCUGCUCAUGUGGCUUCUGUAGGUCUCGUGUCACUAUGUCACUCCUGGACACAUGGACAUCAUCCUGCUGCUACUUUUUCCUGGAGUGGAAUGAGAAGGUGUGAUGCUUUCUGUGGCUCUAGCUGCCUUCAAAAUGGUUGCCCUCUGCAGUUUUUCUCUUUCUGGGCCUUGUCUCCUUUCUGGCUCUAGCCAGGACUUGGCUUGGGGCUCUGUCAGACCUCUAACACCUAUGUGGGGGUCUGCUGCCUCUUCAUGCUCAGGAGUCCAAGGACAGAGCCACUGACCUCCAUGUCUGUCACUGCUUUCCCAAGGCUGGCUCCUGUCUGUGGUGCUAACACCAAUGUGAGGUUUUGGCUUGUCCAAGGUUAUGUUCUCCAUGUUUUUGUCCAGGUGGGAAUCCUGCCUGUUUUCUGAAGACCCUGAAAGGCCUAGGCAAUUGGAAUUUAAAAGCCAGAAGAGUUUCCCAUUUCCCACUUGUUUCUUUCUUUCUUUCUUUCUUUCUUUCUUUCUUUCUUUCUUUCUUUCUUUCUUUCUUUCUUUCUUUCUUUCUUCUUCUUCUUCCUUCUUCCUUCUUCCUCUUCCUCCUCCUCUUCCUCCUCCUCCUCUUCCUCCUCCUCUUCCUCCUCCUCUUCCUCCUCUUCCUCCUCCUCUUCCUCCUCCUCCUCUUCCUCCUCCUCCUCUUCCUCCUCCUCUUCUUCUUCCUCUUCCUCUUCUUCCUCCUCUUCUUCCUCUUCCUCCUCUUCUUCCUCUUCCUCCUCUUCUUCCUCUUCCUCUUCUUCCUCCUCUUCUUCCUCUUCCUCUUCUUCCUCCUCUUCUUCCUCUUCCUCUUCUUCCUCCUCUUCUUCCUCCUCUUCUUCCUCUUCCUCUUCUUCCUCCUCUUCUUCCUCUUCUUCUUCUUCCUCCUCUUCUUCCUCUUCCUCUUCUUCCUCCUCCUCCUCUUCCUCUUCUUCCUCCUCCUCUUCCUCUUCCUCUUCCUCUUCCUCCUCCUCCUCCUCCUCUUCCUCUUCUUCCUCCUCCUCCUCCUCCUCCUCCUCCUCCUCUUCUGGUUUACCACUGAGCUACAUCCCCAGCCCUUUUAAUUUUUUUUUUUUUUUGAGAUAGGGACUUGCAGAGUUGCUGAGGCUGACCUUGAACUUGAGAUCCUCCUGCCUCAGCCUCCCAAGUUGCUGAAAUUACAGAUGAGCCCCAGCACACCCAGCUCCUCUCCUUCUUUUAAGCCCCUUGCUCUCUGAAGCUCCUGGCAUCUGGUCAUGCUACAACCAGCCUUACUUGUGGCUGUCAACUGUGGGCACUUGGUAUCUUUCCACCCUUCUCCCUCAUCAUUCUCAGUGAUUUUAGUCUCCCUUUCAGCCUGUGAGGCCCCUGAUCCCCCCCUUUCUCACUAUGUGUCAUCUGCUUGCCCAAGAACAAUUUCACAUUCUUACCCAGUCUGGACUCUAAAAGGUCUCCUCGCCUCCUUCAGUAUUGGGGAUUGAAUCCAGGGAUACUAUACCCUAGCUAGCCCUUUUUAUUUAAUUUUAAAAUUUUGAGACAGGGUCUACAUUCAUGAUGACGAAUCUCAGAUGGACAUAGAGCUGCCCAGUGUUUCUAUCAUGUCUGGCUGCUAUGAUUAUUUUCCCACUGAAUUUAGCUUUCUAUUGCCACAUAUCACAUACUCAGAAAUGUAGUGGCUUAAAAAAACAAUACUUGUUGCCUCACAGUCUGUAGGUCAGAAAUCCUGGUGGGCUCAGCUGGUUCUCUGGGUAGGCGCUCACAAGGCCAAAAUCAAGGUGCCAGCUGGGCUGGAUCCUGUCUGGAGGUUUGUUCAGGUAGUUGGCAGGACCUAGUUCCUCAGAGCUGCAGGGGUGAAGGCCCUGUUUCCUCACUAGCUGCCAGCUGGGUCUGUCGUCUGCUCCUAGUGGCUAGGAGUAUUCUUUCUGUGGCCAUCUGUGGCACAUUGAAUCACCUUUGUGCUUUGAUCUUUCCUAGACCACUGGCCAGAGAAAGGGCUCUGAUUUUAAGGGCUCAUGUGAUUGGAUGAGGCCUACCCGGAUAAUCCCCGCCUUUUAAGAUUAAGUAUGCCAUACACACUAGAAAGCACGGGGAUCAGAUGAGAUCUGAUCCCCAGACUCCAGGGGUUAGGGAUAUGUGAUCAUGGAAGGCUAUUUUUAGAAUUCUGCUACCACUAUGACUUUCUGAUAUAUGAUGAGUUUCUAUUAUUUCCUUAAAAUUUUGGGAGCAUUGAACCUUGAGAGGUUAAGGUCAUUUAACCAGGAUUUGAAGCUAGAUCUCUCUGACUCCUGGAAAUAAGCAUUUGCCCGUGCUGCUUGGAGUAUUACUUCCUUUUUUCAAAAUGCCCCCACACCCCUCCAUCUCUUUAGUGUCUAUGGUUCAGCUGAUGACCUUUUCAUGUGCUUCCUUGAGAAAAUAGUGGCUUCUCAUAUGCAAAGCCCUGUCCUUUGCUGUUUUCUGUUGCUAUGACUUAAUUCUCCAAAUUAGGAAAUAAAAAAAAAUUGAUUUGAUUCUGGGUUCUGGAGGCUGGGAGAUCCAAGUGUAUAGGGCCGGCAUCUGCUUGUCAUCUGGGAAGGGCCUUCUGGCUGCAUCAUGACAUGUCAGAGGCCCUCUUACGGUGAGAGAGCAAGUGUGGCUUCUUAUAAAGCCACCAAUGCCAUCAUGGGGUCCCACUCUCAUGACCUUAUCUACUCCUUACUACCUUCAGAGCCCCCACUUUCAAUUACCACUAACAUAUUUGGGGAUUAAGUUUACAAAAUGAACUUUUGGGGGGACACAUUUAAACCAUAGUAAGCCCCAAAACUUUGAGUCACAAACCUCCUCCUUCUACACCGAUUUUGUCUUUUUUUUUCCCUGACUCUAGAUCCCUCCUCUCUUGCUUUCCCAAUGACUCCCAUUUUUCAUGUUCUUCUCUUUCUCCUUCCUUAGCCUUUCCCUGUCUCCACAACCUCAGCAGCAACACACAGCCAUGCUCUAGUACUGCCUGUCUUAGAAACAAAUGAAGAUGGGUGCAGAGGUGCACUCCUAUAAUCCCAACCACUCAGGAGGCUGAGACAGAAGGAUCACAAGUUAGAGGCCAACCUGGACAACUUAGUGAGGCCCUGUCUCAAAAUUUAAAAGAAAAGAAAAAAAAAAAAAAAACAAAGCAAAUGCUCCUGGACUCUACCUCCCACAUCAGCCACAGCCACACUUCCUGAAUAAAAGUCUACAUUAGCCAUUCAGUCUCAUGCACCCACUCCAAUCUGGCUUCUGUUACCACCACUCCGUUGAACUGUUCUGCCAGUUAUCAUCCCUGCAUAAAUUUAGUGUCUUUAAAAAACAAUUUAUUGUUGUGUCUUAUUCUUCUGUGGUUGGCUGGGCUCAGCUGGGAAAUUCUCACUUGGGUCUCUUCUUGUGAGAUUGCAAUCAGUGACUGGAACUGGAGUCAUCUGAAGGCUCAGCCUUGCUGGAAGUCCAAGACAGUUCACACAUGGCUGGCAGUUGACCCUGGCUGUUGGCUGGGAGCUUAGCCAGUGCUGGUGACUGGAGGGCCUCCAUGCGUACUCUGCAUAACUUGCACGUCUCAGAAUGGCAGCUGGGUUCUAAGAGGGAGUGUCUCAGGGCUUUCUGGGGGAACCCGCUGGAAGCAAGUCUUCUCAAGAGUGAGUGUUGGCAUCUGGUGCGGCCCUUCUUGCAGCAUCAUGACACGACAGAGGCCCAUACAUGGUGAGAGAGCAUGCCAUCCUGGGGUCCCACCCUCAUGACCCCAUCUCAUCCUAAUCAUCUAGUCAUGCAGCUUCACUUCCCCACAAACUCUUGGGCAUAAGCAAGACACAGUCCACAUGAGACUCAGUGGGAAGGGAUUACACAAGAGUGCAGUUGAUUUAGGGGGCCAUCUUUCACAGAUUGCUACUACAGUCACCAAAAAGUUGGUCCUCAUCUUCCUGAGUUCUUAACAGUAGUUGACUUGGUUGAACAUUUUUUCCCCCAAAAUCUCUCCCUUCUCCGGCUCCGUAGGCCCCUGGCUUUUCUCUUUCCUCACUGAUGCUCUUCCAUCUCCUUUCCUUCUCUUGCUGAAACCUAAAACUUCGACAACUUCAAAUUCUAGGCCUAGAAUUCUAGAAUCAUUUGCAGAAUUAUUUUUCUGAAGUGUUUCCCUGCACCCUCUUCUUUGUCCUGUAGUCAAUGCUGACUGUACAAAUGCUCUCUUCUGCUAGAUAUUACCUUUAACUUUGACCUCUAAUCUGUGCUCAGGACUGGGAUAUAGUCUGUCUUCUUUUUUGGGGAGUAGAAGUCAUUUUUUUUAAUACUAUUUAGUAUUAAAUAAAUAAUUUAUAUGGCCACAUAUAAAUUAUUAACCAUACAUAGUAAUUGGCAAACAAGUAUAUCUUGUGUGUAUAUGUUCUUUUUUUUCAUUUCCAGUAUCUUUCAUUUCCUGCCCUCUUUCCUCCCCCAUCUACUUGCUCUACUCCACCAUCACUCUUCUGUUAUUAUUUUUCAAAUUAAUGUAUCCAGCUGUCUUCUUGUUUGGGGGCAUGGGUACUGGGAUUGAAUCCAAGGGUGUGCUACCACUGAGUUAUAUCCAUGACCGGUUUUUAAAAGACAGGGUCUUGCUAAGUUGUUGAGGCUGGCCUUGAACUUGCAAUCCUCUGCCUCAGUCUCCUGAGUAGCUGAAAUUACAGGUGUGAGCCAUGCACCAUUAGAGCCAUGUCCUCUAGGUUGCUUUUGGUUUUUUUUUGUUUUUCUUUUUGCAGUGCUAGGGAUUAAACCCAGGAUCUUGCACAUACUGAGCAAGUGCUCUACAGUGGAGCUGCAUCCCAGCCCCACUGUCUUCUUGAUAGCUCCGUGUAGGUGUCUAGUGGCGAUUCAGACUUAAUACAUCCAGCUCUCCACUUCCACACCCUCCAGCCUGUUCUCUCUCAACAGAUGCAUCAUUACUCUCUCACAUUUAAGCAAACACACAGGGGAUACCAGAUUCCGUUUAGAUCCUAGAUUCUGUCUCACUACUCUUAACCCCCUCUCCCCAACUUCCAAUAAGCAAGUCCUGGUUUUUUUUUUUUUUUUGUGUGUGUGUGUGUGUGGGUAUGGGGGGGAGAACUUUAAUAUAUUUCUCCAAAUAUAUUUGAUUUUGAUUGUUUAGAAAAUUAAUACAUUUAGCUAGACUUGGUGGCACAUGCCUAUAACCCUAGCAAUUUGGGUCACUGAGGCAGGAUCACAAGUUUAAAGUCAGCCCUAGCAGCUUAGGGAGGCCCUAGGCAACUUAUCAAGACCCUGUAUCAAAAGUAAAAAAUAUAAAAGGGCUGGGGUUAAGCACCCCUGAUCUGGUACCAAAUAAAUAAAUAAAUAAAAAGUAAAAAAAAAAAAAAAAAAAGAAUAUAAAAGUGAUCUGUGACCUUAUCUUACAUUCUCAUUCAUCAAAACAUACUCCCAGUUAAUUAGCUAUUUCUUUUGCUAUUUAUUUCUCUACUUAAAAUUUUCAUAGGUAUGUUUUUUCUUAAUUGUCUAGUGUUAAGUAUUAUAUAUUGACUUUCAACUAUGGAAAAUGUGGGGUUUAAUGGUGUUUAACACUUUAAUAUGCCCAUUUCUUCCACAACCAAAUAUAUUCACUUAUCAUUUUCCAUUGCUUCCCAAAUAGUUUUAUCACAAUUUUUAGUAAAGUCAUUACCUAAUGCUGUGUUAGUCCAUUUAGGCUGCUAUUACAAAGUACCAUGAACAGGGUAGUUUAUCAACAACAGAAGUUUGUUUCUCAUGGUCUGGGAAGUCGAAGAUUGAGGGCCCACAUUUGGUGAGGGCCUUCUCUUUUUUUUUAAUUUAUUUUUUAGUUUUUGGUGGACACUCCAGCCCAGUGAGAGCCUUCUUGUGCUGUAUCAUGACAUGGCAGAAGGCAUCACAUGGUGAGGGAGAGAGGGAGGUAUGCCUGUUGAGAGCAAGAGAGCAAAAGAACCCUCCCAUCCCUUCUACAAUUGGCAUGAAUCCACACAAGAGGAUGGAGCCCUCAGGACCUGAACACCUCGCAUUAGGCCCCACCCCCAAUACUGUUGCAUUGGGGAUUAAGUUUCCAACACAUGCUUUUUCGGGGUACAUUCAAACACUGAAACUUCUCAAGAGUACCCUCUUCAAAUCCUGUCACCUUGGGGGUUAAGGAUUUUAACCUAGAAAUUUUGGAGGGAUACAAACAUUCAGGCUCUAGCAAGCAUUUAUAUUAAUACAAUUAUAUAAAUAUUAUUUGCAGAUAAACCAUGUAAUGGGCUAUGGUUAUCAUUUUUCCCUAUGGAGUGAAUAUUUGCCAUUGUGGGGGGAUUUUGUUAAGAAUUAUAUUUUAAAAAUUUUAAAAUAAUUACAGAUUUAUAAGGAAUUACAAAAAUAGUGCAGGAGGUCCUGUUUGUACCCUUGAACAGUUUCAAGACCUCCUGUAUUCCUUACCCAUUUCUCUAGUGGUAACAUCUUGAUCAGCUGCCGUGCACUAGCUAAGGUGGGAACUGAUGCUGGUAUAAUACUUGGACCUUACUCAGAUUUCACCAGUCCUCUGUUUUAGCUCUGUGUCUCUCAAAGCUACCACUUCCCUUUGUUUUUACCACUACAACAUUGUUCUGAGCUGCCACAUCUCUGUUAGGACUACUGCAACAUCCUCCUGACUUCUUGCUAUUCUCCAGUCUGUUUCCACAUAGCAGCAAGAAGCAGCUUCUAAUCACAAGAGUAGAUCAAGUCCUUUAACACUUUCCUGUUGCUCUUAGAAUACAAUUCUAACUCUUCAUUAUGACCUCCAAGACCCUGUGGGAUCUGGCUAUUUUACCUCCUUAUUUUAUUCUUUCUUUCUCUACCUUAUUUAUUUCCUUCCUUCCUUCUUUCCUUCCUUCCUUCCUUCCUUCCUUCCUUCUCUCUCUCUCUCUUUCUCUUUCUCUCUCUUUCUUUCUUUCCUUUUUUGCAGUACUGAGGAUUGAAACCAGAACUCUGCAGAUGCAAGGCAAACAUUCUACCACAGAGCUACAUCCCCAGCCCAUUCAUUUAUUUAUUUAAAGAAUUUUUUAGUUGUAGAUGGACACAAUAGCUUUAUUUUAUUUAUUCAUUUUUUAUGUGGUGCUGAGGAUUGAACCCAGCGCCUCACAUGUACAAGGCAAGCGCUCUGCCACUGAGCCACAACCCCAGUCCCAUUUAUAUAUUUUUGAGACAGGAUCUUGCUGUGUUGCCCAGGCUGACCUUGCACUUGUGAUCCUCACGUCCCAGCCUUCUGAGUGGCUGGGACACAGGUAUGUGCUUCUGUACCCAGCAGUGUCUCCCUCUUUAAUGACAUCUCAGACCCCUCCUUGUCUUCAGGCCUUGAGUGACCCUGACUGUUCCCUCCACCUUGUGCCUCCAGCAGUCCUCAGUGGCUGGCUUUUUGUUCUUUUUCAGGCCUCAGCUCAGAGGCCAGCCCCUCAGGCUCUCUCUGAUUAACCUAACUAAAGUGUCAUCUGUUUUUCAACAUCAAAUCUGUAGGUAAGUCCUAUUGGUUCUAUUUCAAAAUAUAUUCAAAAUAGGAUUGCAUCAUGCCUUGUCAGCUACCGAGGCCAGCUCUAGUCUAAGCUCUCAUCAUUUCUGGCCUGGACUGCUGCAGCAAGUUAGCUGAUGUCCUUUCUUACACUCCUACAGCACUUUCUUCACAAGCCAAAGUAGUCUUUAAAAAUGCAAAUGGAGUGGGGAGGGCCUGGGGUUGUGGCUCAGCAGUAGAGCAUAGCCUAGAUUGUUCCUUUAGCCUGGAGGAGGCCCUGGGUUUGAUCCUUACUCAGCACCACAUAAAAAUAAAUAGAUUAAUUAAAGAUUUUAAAAAAGAUGCAAAUUAAAAAAAGCAUAAAUCUGUAAUUAAUGGAUGUAUUUAUUGGUUUUCUUGCUUAAUGUCCAUUUCCCAUGUAAGGGUAAAAGAAAUUGAAGUUAAAGCGUAAAAGUUUAAGGGUAAAAGACCGGGUGUUGUAAAAGUUUCUAAGCUGCAAGGUCUGAGUUAAAAUGUAAAGGAGGUAUUGUUAGGUUUCUAUGUUACCUGCAAAACCUGAAAUUUCGGUAGCNUUCUGAUGUAUACAAAGCCCUCCGCCCUCCCCAAAAAGUGUACUUAAGCAGUGCUCAGCCCCUGCUCGGGGCUCUGGGCUGCUUUCCCUUCUUGAGUGGGCACAGAGCCCCAGCAUGCUGGUUCAAUAAAUCCCCCUUCUGCCAAUUGCAUGAGUGGUCACUUGGUGGUCUCUUUCUCCGACGUUUCGCGGGACCCUUACACCCAGUCUAGAGUAUAAGAUUCCCUUACUUUUCUUUUUUUUUAGGUGCUGGGAGUAGAACCAGGGCCUUGUGCAUGCUAGGCAAGUA